rnacentral:lncRNA from 1 species
UGCACUACUAAUCCCUGCGUUACUAAUCCCUGCAUUAUUUAUUUUUCUACCAAACGACCCCAUAAUGAUUCAAACCAGCUUCUGGCCACCUCAAGUAUCUCAUUAGGUAUCUAUUGCCUCCUAUCAACACAAAUAUUGAGUAACUUUGUCCGUCUAAACUUGGGCAAAAAAAUCAGCCAGUGAUCUUUAUCUAUGUUUAUAACCAUGUUGAAG